rnacentral:rRNA from 1 species
GACGAACGCUGGCGGCGCGCUUAACACAUGCAAGUCGUGCGGUACCGAUGGCAAGUCUUCAUGACGAGCCUUCGGUAUAGCGGCGGACGGGUGAGUAACACGUGAGUAGCUGUCCUAGGGAGGGGGAUAACGCCUGGAAACGGGUGCUAAAACCCCAUAAGCCUCGCAAGAGGUGAAAGUGUACUUGUUACAGCCUUAGGGUGUGCUCGCGGCCUAUCAGCUAGUUGGUGAGGUAAGGGCUCACCAAGGCCAAGACGGGUAGCCGGCCUGAGAGGGUGUACGGCCACACUGGAAUUGAGAUACGGUCCAGACUCCUACGGGAGGCAGCAGUGGGGAAUUUUGGGCAAUGGGCGAAAGCCUGACCCAGCGACGCCGCGUUGGGGAUGAAGUCCUUCGGGGCGGUAACCCACUGUUGUUAGGGGAAGGAAGAAAGUAGACGGUACCCGUACCGAGAAAGACCCCGGCCGAACCUACGUGCCAGCAGCCGCGGUAAAUAAGCGUACU